AUGUUUACCUGUCAGGGGAGAUACCAUGAUCACAAAGCGGUUUUACAGGACAAGGUGCAUGCAUUGCACUGCAGAUUUGUUCAUCUUUGCAAUUUCUCCAUAUGCACAGAACUCAUCUACAUAAUUUGGGUAGUGGGAGACUUCAAUUUGCACUUCUCCCU
ensembl:snRNA U1 U1 spliceosomal RNA